AUUGACAAGAAUUCUCUCUUGUACAUUGUGGGGCAAUGGUGAUGAAUUUUCCAAGAAAACAGUUCGAGAAGCAGAUUCCGCGCAGUAUGUGGCCAUCUUUUUGGGAGUUCCACUUUCUUCACUCGAUCUCAACUCUCUAGGAAUCCGUGAUGACGGGCUUGCUCGAUUUAGAUAUUCAAUCCAAAACAGACUUCGGUCGUCCUUUGAACCAAAAUCAAAGCCCCGAUCAUGUUGUGAUUGACGUCGCCAGGGUUGCAAAUGAUGCUUUGCACCAAAGAGAAUCAGGAAAAAUGUACUCGACGACAUUCAUACAUAACAAGAGAGUCCUCUGUCCUCCGUGGAUGCUUUAAGGACAGCCACCUUGUCAAGAGUUGAGUCUUCAGACUCCCAGAGAAAUGCCAGGGCAAUUGAGGAGAUUGAACCAGUGGUGGAAGAUGAUCCUGGAGUGCUCAUCACCACCAAAGAAUUAAGAAAUGACACUACUGUACACCAGCGAAUCAGCAAGUCCAAAAGCUUCAAAAGCAACAGUCACUCAUGGUUAUGAAAUACAUAGCUCACUCCAUGACUCACCGAGAAACAUCACCAGGUAAUCAAAGACAAAUAGACAAUUAAAGUGUCAUUGUGCGUGUGAGAGAGUGAGAAAGAUUGCUUUGUGUCGAAAUAAUGAUGGACCAGAGAGAUUUAUUUGUCCAGAAAAUAUAGAGAUAAAAGAGUAUUCCAUGGAUAUGGAUGGGUGAUCUCACACAUAGAAGAGAUGAUGAUCAAGUAAUGAUGGAGGAGAUAGAGAGAUAAAAGAGUCGGCCCCAAAAUAAUGAUAUAUAUAUAUAUAUAUAUAUAUAUAUAUAUAUAUAUAUGCAUAUUGAGGAUCUUGAUAUGAAAUGGGUGAUGAGAUAGAAGAGAAAGAGUGGAAGAUGAUGAAGUUGAAUCAGGUACAACAGAGGAUAUCUCAAAGCUUCAUAUCCCACAUCGUUUUUAUAAAAGAGAAGUAAAGGGAAAAAUGCUUUAAAAGUAUGAAAAAGCCCCCUAACAAAGUUUCAUGAUACCGAGUCGCCCGAGAACCACUCAACCACAAAGUGAGUGAAAUCAAUACCCGAACCCGGUCCCUGUGUAAAAGGUUUCGGGUCUAACUGAUAAGGCCCGGGUCACCGGGUCGGGUCGUGUUUGCGUGCAUGAUGUAAACAAAUGCACCAUGAAGCUCAUUCCGGCGAGCCCGGCCGAGGACCCCUAAUCCCACCGUUGUGUAUCGCAUAUUGACAUAAUUGAGUCAAUGACAAGGACGCGCUUCAACCUCUUCUCUUCUACAUUGGAAAAAACAUUACAGCAAGCAGAUUAUUUUCGACUUUCACUUUCUGCACUCGAUCUCAACACGACGAUACCAUCUCCCUAGGAAUCCAUGAUGACGGGCUUGCCCGAUUUAGAGAUUCAAUCGACAAGAGACGAAGGUCGUCCUUGGAAUCAAAAUGAUGCUUUGCACCUAAGAGGAAAAAUGAGAAGAAUCGCGUUGUUCUUGGGCAGUUUCAUUUUAGAGGGUUUAUCCAUAGCAUUUGAUCAGUUAAGCACCCCAAAGAAGCCAAUAUAUGCAUUUAUGUCAAUGAUAACGGCUUCAUUGGGGUUGCUCCUAUCAAUCAUUGAGCUUUCUUACAGAGUUAGAGAGAAUGAUAUGAUCAUUUCGCAACUCCUUGGAGAGGCACUGGAAAAUUUUGGAUUUUUUAUCUCAACUUGGCAAUGCAUUUAUGCAGUAGUACAAUAUGUUUACCUUUACGAAAAGAAGAUCGACAGCCCGAUCAAAAUAUCUAUCCUACCUUUAAUCUUCCUCAUCUGUGUUGCGAUCUCUAAAUUAUAUGAUAAUUACUGCGGUGAUUCUAGUACUCAACGACAUCCAUACAUAACAAGAGAGUCCUCUGUGGAUGAUUCAAAGACAACCACCUUGUCAAGAGUUGAGUCUUCAGUCUCCCUGAGAAAUGCCAGGGCAGUUGAGGAGGUUGAACUGUUGGUGGAAGAUGAUCCUGGAGUGCUCAUCACCACCAAAGAAUUAAGAAAUGACACUACAGUACACCAGCGAAUCAGGUAAAGGAAAGGUAGUUGGACACUUGAAGAAGAUGAAAAGUUAUUAGCUUAUGUUACUAGGCCGUAUGGCGCCCGGAACUGGCCUGAAGUUUCCCAAGUUCGCAGUAGUAAAAAUGGGGUGAAGAAUAACGAGAUGAAAGGAAGGGUUGCAUUAAGGACCAAAUCGAUAUAAAUGGAGAAAGUACAGAAAGAAGUCUGCCACGAACAACCGCAACCAGAGGUAUUACUAUGACUGUUCAACUGGAGGAUGCUAUGUGAAGAAGGUUGCAGAGAGCGACAGAAGACUCAAGUUACCUGAUAACAAAAUACCAGGGAGUGCACAACCAUGAAAGCCCUCGUGUGAAUUCUCUGAUGUGGAUUUAAAGUGCAGAUUUAUAAUAUAGAUUACUUUUUUAGGGUGUGGAUAAGUGAAAUGAGAAGUGAGUAUCACAUGUUUCAAAUCAAUGCUGAAAAUAUUAGUUCUUAUUUUAAGUUCACAAAGGAUAAUUCAUAUAUGAACAGUAAGUCAGAUUAAUUGACUUUAUGUCUGAAUAUUAGACCAAUCAGUUUGCCUAU